rnacentral:rRNA from 1 species
CCUACGGGCGGCAGCAGUGGGGAAUAUUGGACAAUGGGCGAAAGCCUGAUCCAGCCAUGCCGCGUGUGUGAAGAAGGCCUUCGGGUUGUAAAGCACUUUCAGUGGGGAAGAAAGCCUUGGGGCUAAUACCCUCGAGGAAGGACAUCACCCACAGAAGAAGCACCGGCUAACUCCGUGCCAGCAGCCGCGGUAAUACGGAGGGUGCGAGCGUUAAUCGGAAUUACUGGGCGUAAAGCGCGCGUAGGCGGUCUGAUAAGCCGGUUGUGAAAGCCCCGGGCUCAACCUGGGAACGGCAUCCGGAACUGUCAGGCUAGAGUGCAGGAGAGGAAGGUAGAAUUCCCGGUGUAGCAGUGAAAUGCGUAGAGAUCGGGAGGAAUACCAGUGGCGAAGGCGGCCUUCUGGACUGACACUGACGCUGAGGUGCGAAAGCGUGGGUAGCAAACAGGAUUAGAUGCCCCAGUAGUC